GACUCCGUAGCUCAGUUGGUAGAGCAAUUGACUCUUAAUCAAUGGGUCGAGGGUUCGAGCCCCUCCGGGGUCAC
rnacentral:tRNA from 1 species